rnacentral:rRNA from 1 species
CCGACACAGCCAGAAUUACCUCACUAAAGGGACUCAGUCCUGGUUAGUUUAAACGAAUUCGCCCUUAGAGUUUGAUCCUGGCUCAGGACGAACGCUGGCGGCGCGCCUAACACAUGCAAGUCGGACGAGAGAGAGGAAGCUUGCUUCCUCAAUCGAAUGGCGAACGGGUGAGUAACGCGUGAGGAACCUGCCUCAAAGAGGGGGACAACAGUUGGAAACGACUGCUAAUACCGCAUAAGCCCACAGCUCGGCAUCGAGCAGAGGGAAAAGGAGCAAUCCGCUUUGAGAUGGCCUCGCGUCCGAUUAGCUGGUUGGUGAGGUAAUGGCCCACCAAGGCGACGAUCGGUAGCCGGACUGAGAGGUUGAACGGCCACAUUGGGACUGAGACACGGCCCAGACUCCUACGGGAGGCAGCAGUGGGGAAUAUUGCACAAUGGGGGAAACCCUGAUGCAGCGACGCCGCGUGGAGGAAGAAGGUCUUCGGAUUGUAAACUCCUGUUGUUGAGGAAGAUAAUGACGGUACUCAACAAGGAAGUGACGGCUAGCUACGUGCCAGCAGCCGCGGUAAAACGUAGGUCACAAGCGUUGUCCGGAAUUACUGGGUGUAAAGGGAGCGCAGGCGGGAAGACAAGUUGGAAGUGAAAUCUAUGGGCUCAACCCAUAAACUGCUUUCAAAACUGUUUUUCUUGAGUAGUGCAGAGGUAGGCGGAAUUCCCGGUGUAGCGGUGGAAUGCGUAGAUAUCGGGAGGAACACCAGUGGCGAAGGCGGCCUACUGGGCACCAACUGACGCUGAGGCUCGAAAGUGUGGGUAGCAACNAGGAUUAGAUACCCUGGUAGUCCACACCGUAAACGAUGAUUACUAGGUGUUGGAGGAUUGACCCCUUCAGUGCCGCAGUUAACACAGUAAGUAAUCCACCUGGGGAGUACGACCGCAAGGUUGAAACUCAAAGGAAUUGACGGGGGCCCGCACAAGCAGUGGAGUAUGUGGUUUAAUUCGACGCAACGCGAAGAACCUUACCAAGUCUUGACACCCUGCGACGCACAUAGAAAUAUGUGUUUCCUUCGGGACGCAGAGACAGGUGGUGCAUGGUUGUCGUCAGCUCGUGUCGUGAGAUGUUGGGUUAAGUCCCGCAACGAGCGCAACCCUUACUGUCAGUUACUACGCAAGAGGACUCUGGCAGGACUGCCGUUGACAAAACGGAGGAAGGUGGGGAUGACGUCAAAUCAUCAUGCCCUUUAUGACUUGGGCUACACACGUACUACAAUGGCGUUAAACAAAGAGAAGCAAGACCGCGAGGUGGAGCAAAACUCAGAAACAACGUCCCAGUUCGGACUGCAGGCUGCAACUCGCCUGCACGAAGUCGGAAUUGCUAGUAAUCGUGGAUCAGCAUGCCACGGGAAUAGAUCCCGGGGUGUACACACCGCCCGUCAAGGGCGAAA